GGUACCGUCAUUAUCUUCCCUAGCGAAAGAGCUUUACGACCCUAAGGCCUUCAUCACUCACGCGGCGUGGCUGGAUCAGGGUUUCCCCCAUUGUCCAAGAUUCCCC
rnacentral:rRNA from 1 species